rnacentral:rRNA from 1 species
AGAGUUUGAUCUUGGCUCAGGAUGAACGCUGGCGGCGUGCCUAAUACAUGCAAGUCGAACGAACUUCCGUUAAUUGAUUAUGACGUACUUGUACUGAUUGAGAUUUUAACACGAAGUGAGUGGCGAACGGGUGAGUAACACGUGGGUAACCUGCCCAGAAGUAGGGGAUAACACCUGGAAACAGAUGCUAAUACCGUAUAACAGAGAAAACCGCAUGGUUUUCUUUUAAAAGAUGGCUCUGCUAUCACUUCUGGAUGGACCCGCGGCGUAUUAGCUAGUUGGUGAGGUAACGGCUCACCAAGGCGACGAUGCGUAGCCGACCUGAGAGGGUGAUCGGCCACAUUGGGACUGAGACACGGCCCAGACUCCUACGGGAGGCAGCAGUAGGGAAUCUUCCACAAUGGACGCAAGUCUGAUGGAGCAACGCCGCGUGAGUGAAGAAGGGUUUCGGCUCGUAAAGCUCUGUUGUUAAAGAAGAACGUGGGUAAGAGUAACUGUUUACCCAGUGACGGUAUUUAACCAGAAAGUCACGGCUAACUACGUGCCAGCAGCCGCGGUAAUACGUAGGUGGCAAGCGUUAUCCGGAUUUAUUGGGCGUAAAGCGAGCGCAGGCGGUCUUUUAAGUCUAAUGUGAAAGCCUUCGGCUCAACCGAAGAAGUGCAUUGGAAACUGGGAGACUUGAGUGCAGAAGAGGACAGUGGAACUCCAUGUGUAGCGGUGAAAUGCGUAGAUAUAUGGAAGAACACCAGUGGCGAAGGCGGCUGUCUGGUCUGCAACUGACGCUGAGGCUCGAAAGCAUGGGUAGCGAACAGGAUUAGAUACCCUGGUAGUCCAUGCCGUAAACGAUGAUUACUAAGUGUUGGAGGGUUUCCGCCCUUCAGUGCUGCAGCUAACGCAUUAAGUAAUCCGCCUGGGGAGUACGACCGCAAGGUUGAAACUCAAAAGAAUUGACGGGGGCCCGCACAAGCGGUGGAGCAUGUGGUUUAAUUCGAAGCUACGCGAAGAACCUUACCAGGUCUUGACAUCUUGCGCCAACCCUAGAGAUAGGGCGUUUCCUUCGGGAACGCAAUGACAGGUGGUGCAUGGUCGUCGUCAGCUCGUGUCGUGAGAUGUUGGGUUAAGUCCU